GGGGAAAGAAAAAAGUUCCAUAACUCUCGAUAAUCUAUCUCGGCUUCCAAACGCCGCAGGUUGAUGAAGUUGACAAAACGAAUGAAGGGCAGUCUUUCUUUCUAGGAACAAAAAGCGACCUUUCGGAAACACAAAGCGGGGGGUGCCUGUUCCGGUCAGCUUCUCCUACAUGAAGAUGUUGGGGCGGGAGGCCUUGAAGGUGGUCUUCAGCCUGCGGGUGGGGGGCCUCACCUUCCUGGAGACGAGGGGGAACUUGAUCUUGGAGUCGUGGAACUGCUUGGUGUUCUCCCGCUUGCAGAGCUUGGAGGGGACGGUGGCGGUCUUGAUGAUCUGGAUGCAGGGGUGCCUCACCCGGUGGCGGGAGGCCAUCUCGUUGUACAUCUGCUCCACCGCCCCGUUCAGCGUGGUGUCCCUGUACUCCUUGUACAUGUUGUGGUACCCCGUCCUGCUCUGGUACCUCAGCCAGAUCCCAAAGUUCUUGAUCGUCGUCGGCUUCUUCUCGAAAAU
rnacentral:lncRNA from 1 species